rnacentral:ncRNA from 1 species
GAAAAGGCAAACCCGUCGCGAGGCGGGGGCGCAAAGCCGACGGACCUCUCCGAGGUGGCCGGGCUGCCGAA